rnacentral:lncRNA from 1 species
GGACGAUGGGCAUUGUAGUCCCCGAACAGCUGGAGGACCCGCUUCCCUCAGAGCUGCCACCAUUCCACCCUAAUCCGUUAUCGGAACGAAUUGCUGGUGUUGCCGUUUGUAAACUACAAUGCCCAGCACCCCGACCGCUGUGAGCUAGGGAUGAUGGGAGUUGUAGUCCCAAAACAGCUGGAGGGCCUCGCCAGGUUCAACAUGCUGCCAUCUGCCUUAUUGUAGGGCAGAUUCGCGGGUAAUCCAUAAUCCAUAAUCCACAGAAGGAGUCUGCCCCUGCGGCUUGAUGGAGGUAGAAACUGUCUCUAAUGUCUUGUUACGCUUGGCAUUUAUCACCCCUGCUAUACAAAAAUCUCCAAAUGGGUCCGAACUUCAAUGUCUAAAACUCCUGGUAGAGGACAAGGAUCACGCUCAGGGUGGCCAAAUUCCGUGCGACUGCCAUAAAAUUUAGGGAACAAGCUGUGCUACCAAAAUGAUUAAGCUCUUAAAUGACAAUUUUAGGUUAUAUUUUAGUGAAACAUUAUUAUUAUUAUUAUUAUUAUUAUUAUUAUUAUUAUUUCUACCCCACCCAUCUGGCUAGCUUUCCCCAGCCACCAUGGGCGGCUUCCAGCAAAAUAUUAAAAUACAAUAGUGUGUCAAACAUUAAAAGCUUCUCUAAACAGGGCUACCUUCAGAUGUCUUCUAAAAGCCAGAGAGUUGGUUCUUUCUUUGACAUCUGAUGGGAGGGUGUUCCACAGUGGGGGCUCCACCACCGAGAAGGCCCUGUGCCUGGUUCCCUGUAACUUCUCACAGAGGGAACCGCCAGAAGGCCCUAGGAGCUGGACCUCAGUGUCUGAGCUGAACGAUGGGGUUGGAGAUGCUCCUUCAGCUAUACAGGAUGGGGCCGUUUAGGGCUUUUAGGCUAGGCACCAACACUUUGAAUUGUGCUUGGAAACGUCCCGGGAGCCAAUGUAGGUCUUUCAAGACCGGUGUUACGUGGUCUCGGCAGCCACUCCCAGUCACCAGUCUAGCUGCCGCAUUCUGGAUUAAUUGUAGUUUCCAAGUCCCCUUCAAAGGCAGCCCCACAUAGAGCGCAUUGCAGUAGUCCAAGCGGGAGAUAACUAGAGCAUGCACCACUCUGGCGAGACAGUCCGCGGGCAGGUAGGGUGCCUGCGUACCAGGUGGAGUUGGUAGACCUGCGCCUCCAUGGACAGCUUUGAGUCCAAAAUGACUCCCAGGCUGCGCACCUGGUCCUUCAGGGGCACAGUUACCCCAUUCAGGACCAGGGAGUCCUCCACACCUGCCCACCCCCUGUCCCCCCAAAACAGUACCCCCACACCCACCUGCCCCCUGUCCCCUCGACAGGCGCGACCAAGGCAGUUUCAGUCCCAUGGUGAGGCCUGGAUCACAACUGGAAGGGAUCCAAAUUGUCCGCUUCUUCCAAGUUAAGAUUUAACUUAUAUGUUUUUAACUACUGCUAUAUCCGUAUUGUCCCUGUUAGACCCAAUUGCCAUUCAAUGUAUCCCUCUUGUGUUUUUAUGAUUUUCCUGAGAUUGUAAGUGAGCCGGAACUGGUCUGUGACUGUAAUAAUAAAUUCAUUCACUGAAGGGCCAAGUUGGGCCAUGCCUGCAGAGGGUUUUGAUUCUUGCCAUGUUUUGAGCCACUUUGAGUAUGUAUUUUUCCGUGUAUAAGACUAGGUUUCCCCCCUAAAAAAUAAUGUCCAAAAUUGGAGGCGUCUUAUACACGGGGGCCAUCUCCCCCCAUUUUCUUAAAUCAGAGUCCCCCCAAAUAAGGGGUGUCGUAUGCAUGGGGGCGUCUUAUAGACAGAAAAAUGUGGUAUAUAUAUGUAUGGGAAAGCAGAUUGCAGUGUGAAUAAAAAAGUCAUCCGCCUGUCUUGUAAGACGAAGGAAGAAUGCACUGCCUUUGGGAGUAAAGUCAAACCCUUGCAGGCAUGGCCCAACUUGGCCCUCCAACUAUUUUUGGGACUACAACUCCCAUCAUCCCUAGCUCAUGGGACCAGUGGUACAAUAAACUACAAUACAAUAAAAUGGCAGCAAAUGUCAGUGUAACGCACAAGGCUACAACGAAGGAAGUGAGGGAAGGUAUUGAGGGCUGGCAAUUUAUUGCAGUUUAUUCAGCUCAUAACAAUUGUCCCCUCUUUGGUGGUUUAUUUUCUAAUAACACUAGUAAAUUAAGCACGAGAGCCUGUACAGCAGAGUUUGAGCAGAAUGGCAAAUAUCAAUCCUUUGGAAAUGAACUUGGUCCCGUUAUUUUAGGAUAGGGACAUCCAACUCCCAAUAGACUGUGAUCUACUCACUGUGAAAAAACAGUUUUUUUGGGAAGCCAAGGUGGUGAAUGGAACUGAAUGAUUGGAACUGAAUAUAUGAAUGAAUGAAACUGAAUGAGCAUUGCGAUAUACACAAAGCACAAUCAAAAUUUGAUUAUAUAAAACACAGUGGAGGGUCUUGAAUCCCCAGUCCGAUAGUGGAACUUAAUCUGAUGACCCACUUUUUUGCUAGGAAGCCAAAGUUGCUGAGCUUUUCUUUGGAAAGCCAAAGUUCUUGAGGUUUUUUUAGGAAAGGCAAAGUUAUUGAGCUUUUUUUUGGGGGGGGGGGGAGUAGAUCACUGAAGGGUCAGAGAUCUACCAGUAAAUCAUGAUCUGCCUGUUGGACAUGCCUGUUUUAGGAAAUGUGGGGUAUGUGCUGCUCUUAUCCUAUGGCUUAGAAAGAACCCACAGCUCACACUAACAGAAGCCAAAGAGUCAUAGAAUCAUAGAAUCAUAGAGUUGGAAGAGACCACAAGGGCCAUCGAGUCCAACCCCCUGCCAAGCAGGAAACACCAUCAGAGCACUCCUGACAUAUGGUUGUCAAGCCUCUGCUUAAAGACCUCCAAAGAAGGAGACUCCACCACACUCCUUGGCAGCAAAUUCCACUGUCGAACAGCUCUUACCGUCAGGAAGUUCUUCCUAAUGUUGAGGUGGAAUCUUCUUUCUUGUAGUUUGGAUCCAUUGCUCCGUGUCCACUUCUCUGGAGCAGCAGAAAACAACCUUUCUCCCUCCUCUAUGUGACAUCCUUUUAUAUAUUUGAACAUGGCUAUCAUAUCACCCCUUAACCUCCUCUUCUCCAGGCUAAACAUGCCCAGCUCCCUUAGCCGUUCCUCAUAAGGCAUCGUUUCCAGGCCUUUGACCAUUUUGGUUGCUCUCCUCUGGACACGUUCCAGUUUGUCAGUGUCCUUCUUGAACUGUGGUGCCCAGAACUGCCCAGAACUGGACACAGUACUCCAGGUGAGGUCUGACCAGAGCAGAAUACAGUGGCACUAUUACUUCCCUUGAUCUAGAUGCUAUACUCCUAUUGAUGCAGCCCAGAAUUGCAUUGGCUUUUUUAGCUGCCGUGUCACACUGUUGGCUCAUGUCAAGUUUGUGGUCAACCAAGACUCCUAGAUCCUUUUCACAUGUACUGCUCUCUUUUUUUUCUUCUUUUUUUUAAAUAAUUUUUUAUUAAGGUUUUAAACAAACAAAAAAGAAAAACAACACACACAAAAAACAAUACAAAACUUAACAAUAAAAACACAAAACAUAACAAUUAAAAACAAACUCUCUUUUCCAUUUCCAAUUUUAAAUUACUUAUUUUCUGGACUUCCUCAUACCUCCCUCUUUUGUAUUCCAAUCCACAUUAUUUGUCCAGCAGUUUCUUUUCCACUUUUUAAUCCCAAUCUUUAAUUUAAUAAAACGUUAAAAUAUAUAACUUCAACUUUUUAAACCUAAUCCUUGAUCUUAAUGUCAUAUAGCUUUAAAUUUUUCCCUUUUAUUAUCAAAUUUCCAUUUCUUUAAACAUCUUUAAUCUUGAUCUUUAAUCUUAAUCUAUCCUUAACUUUAACCUGUACAGCUGGAAACCACUUGUUUUCAGUCCAACAUCACUCUAACAUUCCUUAAUUUUGCAGUGUUUCUGAAGAUAGUCUUUGAAUUUCUUCCAGUCUUCCUCCAUCGACUCUUCUCCCUGGUCACGGAUUCUACCAGUCAUUUCCGCCAAUUCCAUAUAGUCCAUAAGUUUCAUCUGCCAUUCCUCCAGCGUGGGAAGUUCUUGUGUCUUCCAAUACUUUGCGAUGAGUAUUCUUGCUGCUGUUGUUGCAUACAUAAAGAAAGUUCUAUCCUUUUUUAACACCAUUUGGCCUACUAUGCCCAGGAGAAAGGCCUCUGGUUUCUUGGGGAAGGUAUACUUAAAUACCUUUUUUAAUUCAUUAUAUAUCAUUUCCCAGAAAGCCUUAAUCUUUGGGCACGUCCACCAAAGGUGAAAAAAUGUACCUUCAAUUUCUUUACAUUUCCAACAUUUGUUAUCGGGCAAGUGAUAGAUUUUCGCAAGCUUGACUGGGGUUAUGUACCACCUGUAUAUCAUUUUCAUAAUAUUCUCUCUUAAGGCAUUACAUGCCGUAAAUUUCAUACCUGUGGUCCAUAACUGUUCCCAGUCAGCAAACAUAAUGUUAUGACCAACGUCCUGUGCCCAUUUAAUCAUAGCCGAUUUUACCGUUUCAUCUUGAGUAUUCCAUUUCAGCAGCAAGUUAUACAUUCUUGACAAGUUCUUAAUCUUGGGUUCUAACAAUUCUGUUUCUAAUUUGGAUCUUUCCACCUGGAAGCCAAUUUUCCUGUCCAAUUUAAAUACCUCCAUUAUUUGAUAAUAAUGAAGCCAGUCUCGCACUUUGUUUUUAGUUUUUCAAAACUCUGCAAUUUCAGUCUAUCUCCGUCUUGUUCCAAAAUUUCCCAAUAUUUCGCCAUUUGACCUCCAUAUUGACCUUUUUCAAGGCUUUCGCUUCCAUUGGUGACAGCCACCUUGGGGUUUUAUUUUCUAGCAAAUCCUUAUAUCUUAUCCAAACAUUGAAUAGCGCUUUCCUGACAAUAUGGUUUUUAAAUGCUUUAUGUGCUUUGACCUUAUCAUACCAUAAAUAUGCAUGCCAUCCAAAUACAUUAUUAAAACCUUCCAGAUCCAAAAUGUCAGUGUUUUCAAGAAGUAGCCAUUCUUUGAACCAGCAAAAGGCUGCUGAUUCAUAGUACAGUUUAAGGUCUGGCAGGGCAAAUCCACCUCUUUCCUUUGCAUCCGUUAGUAUUUUAAAUUUUAUUCUGGGUUUCUUGCCCUGCCAGACAAAUUUAGAAAUAUCUUUCUGCCACCUCUUGAAACAAUCCAUUUUGUCCACGAUCUGCAAAGUUUGAAACAAAAACAACAUUCUAGGCAAUACAUUCAUCUUUAUCGCAGCAAUACGGCCUAGCAGUGAAAGCUUCAAAUUUGACCAAAUUUCUAAAUCUUUUUUCACUUCUGACCAACGUUUUUCAUAAUUAUCUUUAAAUAAAUUCCCAUUUUUUGCUGUCAUGCUAAUCCCCAGGUAUUUAACUUUCUUAACCACUGUUAAACCUGUCUCAUUCUGAAACCUCUCCACAUGUACUGCUCUCAAGCCAGGUGUCACCCAUCUUGUAUUUGUGCCUCUCAUUUUUUUUGCCCAAGUGCAAUACUUUACAUUUCUCCCUGUUAAAAUUCAUCUUGUUUGUUUUUGCCCAGUUCUCUAAUCUGUCUAGGUCGUUUUGAAGUGUGAUCCUGUCCUCUGGGGUGUUAGAGUCACGGAGUAUAAAGAGCAGAAUUUUUAAUUCUGUGUCAAAUAUUUAGACAGAGGCCUUUGUAAACAGAAUUAUCCCCCCCCCCCCCAUUUUGGUAUUUCUGCCGAGGUUUCCCCCAUAAAUUCCAACCCAGUUUCUCCUUUCCCAUCCUCGGUGGUGCCAAACCCUUUUGCAAAACAGGGAGCUGCCGCCGUCAGAAGCUGCCAUAUUUGGUUACAGUCUCCCAACUUGGUCUGGAGUGUGUGAGUUCCUUCACUUUGAAGGUGAUGUGUGAAGGUUUUUGGCCCUGCGAAUGCAGAAAGCAAAAGAUAGCAAACCUAAAAGUUCAAAACCUUCCAGCUUUGCUCGCCGUCUUGGCUUGUUCUCGCAGUCGCUGGGAGAGAUCACCAGUGGGUUUGGGGAUGGACAUUCAUCAGUAUGUGGAUGGUACCCUCUUUUUUCAGAUCGGAACCGGUAAAGGCAGUGAAGGUCCUGUGUCUGGAGGCAGUUGGAGGACGGGUGGCUGCUAACGGGUUGAGGUUGAAUCCUGCAAGACAGAAGUCCUGUUGUGCGUGGGCAGGUGGGGAGCACUCCCUGGUCCUGAACGGGGCAACUGUGCCCCUGAAGGACCAGCUGCGCAGCCUGGGGGUCAUUUUGGACCCAUGGAGGUGCAGGUCCAUUCUGUGUCCAGGGCAGCUCCUUGUGGGACGCAGGAUGAGACCCUACCUGCCCAGAGCAGCACAUGCUCUGGUUACCUCUCGCUUGGACUAUUGCUAUGCGCUCUAUGUGGGGCUGCCUUUGAAGAUGCCCUGGAAACAACAACUAAUCCAGAAUGCGGCAGCCAGACUGGGGACUGGGACUGCUGAGACUACAUAACCCCGGUCCUGAAAGACCUGCAUUGGCUCCCGGGACGUUUCCAGGCACAAUUCAAAGAGUCAGUGCUGACCUUGAAAGCCCUCAAUGGCCUCAGCCCAGUAGACCCGAAGGAGUGCCUCCACCCCAGACGCCAGGGUCCCUCUCCCCAGGGCCUUCUGGUUCCCUCCCUGCAAGAAGCGAAGUUACAGGGAACCAGGCAGAGGGCCUUCUCGGUGGUGGCGCCCACCCUCUGGAACGCACUCCCAUCAGAUCUCAAAGAAAUAAGCAACUCUCUGGCCUUUAGAAGACAUCUGAAGACAGCCCUGUUUUGGGAAGUGUUUUGUACUGAGUUGAAUAGGAUCCAAACUGCAGCAGUCUGAUUGGUCCUAGAACAAUAGGAUCCAAAUUGCAGCAGUCUGAUUGGUCCUAGAACAAUAGGAUUCAGAAUGCAGCAGUCUGAUUGGUCCUAGAACAAUGCAGCAGUAUGAUUGGUUGGCAGGAACCACCCAAUCAUGCUCCAGAUAUAAGUGAAUCCACAACCUGAUUGGCUUACAGUAGAAUUCCAGAAUUAGCCAAUCAUGUGCAGCCCAUUGUGUAAAUAAUGUAUAUAAAGCAGAUACUUUGAGGGGACUUUCAUUCAUUCCUCCUCACCACUAUGAGCUGAAUAAAGAGCAUGAAAUCACUUUGCGACUCUGAGUAUAUAGAAUAGAAUCAUAGAAUCAUAGAAUCAUAGAGUUGGAAGAGACCACAAGGGCCAUCGAGUCCAACCCCCUGCCAAGCAGGAAACACCAUCAGAGCACUCCUGACAUAUGGUUGUCAAGCCUCUGCUUAAAGACCUCCAAAGAAGGAGACUCCACCACACUCCUUGGCAGCAAAUUCCACUGUCGAACAGCUCUUACUGUCAGGAAGUUCUUCCUAAUGUUGAGGUGGAAUCUUCUUUCUUGUAGUUUGGAUCCAUUGCUCCGUGUCUGCUUCUCUGGAGCAGCAGAAAACAACCUUUCUCCCUCCUCUAUGUGACAUCCUUUUAUAUAUUUGAACAUGGCUAUCAUAUCACCCCCUAACCUCCUCUUCUCCAGGCUAAACAUGCCCAGCUCCCUUAGCCGUUCCUCAUAAGGCAUCGUUUCCAGGCCUUUGACCAUUUUGGUUGCCCUCCUCUGGACACGUUCCAGUUUGUCAGUGUCCUUCUUGAACUGUGGUGCCCAGAACUGGACACAGUACUCCAGGUGAGGUCUGACCAGAGCAGAAUACAGUGGCACUAUUACUUCCCUUGAUCUAGAUGCUAUACUCCUAUUGAUGCAGCCCAGAAUUGCAUUGGCUUUUUUAGCUGCCACGUCACACUGUUGGCUCAUGUCGUUUGUGGUCAACCAAGACUUCUAGAUCCUUUUCACAUGUACUGCUCUCAAGCCAGGUGUCACCCAUCUUGUAUUUGUGCCUCUCAUUUUUAUUGCUCAAGUGCAAUACUUUACAUUUCUCCCUGUUAAAAUUCAUUUUGUUUGUUUUGGCCCAGUUCUCUAAUCUGUCAAGGUCAUUUUGAAGUGUGAUCCUGUCCUCUGGGGUGUUAGCCACCCCUCCCAGUUUGGUGUCAUCUGCAAAUUUGAUCAGGAUGCCCUUGAGUCCAUCAUCCAAGUCGUUGAUAAAGAUGUUGAAUAAGACCGGGCCCAAGACAGAACCCUGUGGCACCCCACUAGUCACUCUUCUACAGGAUGAAGAGGAACCAUUGAUGAGCACCCUUUGGGUUCGGUCAGUCAGCCAGUUACAAAUCCACUGAGUGGUAGCAUAGUGAAGACCGCAUUCUACCAGCUUCUUUACAAGAAUAUCAUGAGGCACCUUGUCAAAUGCCUUGCUGAAAUCAAGGUAGGCUACAUCCACUGCGUUCCCUUCAUCUACCAGGCUUGUAAUUCUGUCAACAAACGAGAUCAGGUUAGUCUGACAUGACUUAUUUUUCAGAAAUCCAUGCUGACUACUGGUGAUCACAGCAUUCCUUUCUAGGUGCUCACAGACUUUUUGCUUAAUGAUCUGCUCCAGAAUCUUCCCUGGUAUUGAUGUCAGACUGACUGGGCGGUAAUUAUUUGGGUCCUCUCUUUUCCCCUUUUUGAAAAUAGGGACAACAUUUGCCCUCCUCCAGUCUGCCGGGACUUCGCCUGUUCUCCAGAAAUUCUCAAAGAUGACUGCCAGUGGUUCUGAGAUCACAUCUGCCAGUUCUUUUAAUACUCUUGGAUGCAGUUCAUCUGGCCCUGGAGACUUGAAUACAUCUAAACUAGCCAAGUAUUCUUGUACUAUCUCCUUAGUUAUUCUGGGCUGUGUUUCCUCUGCUAAAUCAUUUGCUCCAAAUUCUUCAGGUCGGGCAUUGUUUUCUUUAUUGGAGAAGACUGAGGCAAAGAAGGCAUUGAGGAGUUCAGCCCUUUCUGUGUCCCCUGUUUGCAUUUCACCAUCUUCUCCUCUGAGUGACCCCACUGUUUCUUUGUUCUUCCUUUUGCUACGGACAUACCCAUAAAAGCCUUUUUUGUUGCUUUUAACCUCUCUAGCAAGCCUGAGUUCAUUCUGUGCUUUAGCUUUUCUGACUUUGUGUCUACACGUGCUGGCUAUUUGUUUGAAUUCCUCUUUGGUGGUUUCCCCCCUUUUCCAUUUUUUGUACACAUCUUAACUCAGUUAAAAGUUCUUUAGAUAGCCACCCUGGCUUCUUUAGGCACCUUCCAUGUUUCUGUCUCAUUGGUGUUGCCUGAAGUUGUGCUUUUACUGUCUCCCUCUUAACAAACUCCCAGCCAUCAUGAACUCCCUUUCCUUUUAGUAUUACUGUCCAUGGGAUCUCACCCAGCACUUCCUAAGUUUUAUGAAGUCGGCUUUCUUAAAGUCAAGAAAUUGAGUCCUAGUAUGCUUGGCUGCUCCUUUCCGCUGUAUAGUAAACUUCAGAAGAGCAUGAUCACUCGCGCCUAAUGAUCCUUCCACUUCUACCCCACUAACCAGGUCAUCAGCAUUGGUUAGGACCAGAUCUAAAAUGGCUGUUCCUCUUGUUGCUUCUCCCACUUUCUGGACAAUGAAGCUGUCUGCAAGGCCAGUGAGGAAUCUGUUUGACCUUAUGCUCUUGGCUGAGUUUGACAUCCAACAAAUAUCCGGGUAAUUGAAGUCGCCCAUUACUACUAUCUCCUUCCUUUUGCAUGCUUGGCCAUCUGUUCCAGGAAGGCAUCAUCUAUGUCCUCCGUUUGGCUUGGGGAUCUAUAGUAAACUCCCACAAUGAGGUCACUGUUAUUCUUCUUUCCCUUAAUUUUGACCCAAAUGCUCUCACUUUGGCUUUGAGGUUCUAAAUCUUGGAUCUCUUCACAGGUAUACACAUCCCUGACAUAUAACGCCACUCCUCCUCCUUUCUUGUCUGGUCUGUUUCUCUGAAAUAGAUUGUAUCCCUCCAUUAUUACAUUCCAAUCGUGGGACUUAUCCCACCAGGUUUCAGUGAUGCCUAUUAUGUCAUAUUUAGUUUGCUGUACCAAGAGCUCAAGCUCAUAAAAUAUGUGUCCAUAUUUCACUGGCAACGAAGGUGGGAUCCCGCUAAGCUGACUGCCACACACAGCACCGCAGCACCGCCACCUGCCGCACCGCUGCCUCGCACCGUGUAUCCAGGCUUCAGCUCCGGGACCCAAGGAACUCAGAAUGGCAACCGACAGCAGCUUCUCGCCGUUCAACCCAGCAUCUGGAGACUGGGAAGCGUACGCCUCCCGUUUCACCUUCCUCCUAGAAGCCAAAGGGGUCACCGAUGAAGAAGACGCCAAGAAGAGGGCGAUAUUCUUCAGCGUCUGCGGAGAGGAGACGUUUGAAAUCGCCCGGGCUCUCCUUGCACCUGAAGACGUUGCUACUGUUCCAUACAAAAUAAUAAUGGAACAGCUGAAGGGGCACUUUUUGCCGCAGCCCUCAGUGGUGGCUCGUGGAAAUGCCUUCUACGCAAAGCGGCAAGCCCCUGGGGAAACCAUAACUGGGUUUGUGACCUCUCUCCGCCAAGCCGCCCGGUUCUGCAACUUCUCAGAGCUGAAGAACAUGCUUCGGGACCGCCGCGUCGGUGUCCUGAAGGAUGAGAAGCUGCAACGACGCCUCUACGCUAAGAGGACCUAACGUUCCAGGUCACUCUGGAGGAGGCCCUGGCAACGGAAGCUGCCAAGAGGUCGACGCAAGAGGCACGGCCGAGCCUGCCAUCCCAACCGAGGGUCCACCACGAAGACCUCACCGACGACUCAGGAUCUGACAGGGAGGAGGUGCACCGAGUACAGCAGCGCACUCAAGCAGCCCACAUACCACAGCUGCCUCGACGAGAAGGAGGGAAGUGCGUAAGCUGCGGGGAAAGUCACGAGAGGAGGACCUGCCGUUUCUGCAACGCAGAGUGCAGGCAGUGCAGAAAAUCGGGACACAUCGCCCGGGUGUGUCGAGCUCCGCCCACCCGACGCCAGGCAUCAGAUGACCAAUCCAAGAGCCCCUGGUCCCAGGGCCCAACGCACCAAGGCAACUCGACGGAGCUCACGGACUUCCAGGUAUACCAGUUGCCCCACCCCAACGUAGAGAAAAUUUAUGUAGAGGUACAGAUAGAGGGGCCCCCAUGCCGCAUGGAGCUUGACACGGGUUCAGCUCUAUCCAUAAUCUCGGCAAGGACCUUAAGGAAACUGUGUCCUACUGGGGGGUCCCAAACUCAGGCCGGCCCCAUUCACCCUCCGGGACUUCCAGAAACGUAAGGUCCCCACAAUGGGGGUGGGGACCUUCAGGGUGCAAUACCAAGGGCGGACACGGCAACUGGACUUGCUUGUGGUCAAGGGCCCCUACAUUAGCUUACUGGGAUUGGCAUGGUUUGGACCACUGGGGCUAGCCAUCACCGGGGUGAACCACACUACCUUACAAGUAGACGUGGACGCCAUAUGCAAGGAAUUUCCAGGGGUUUUCGAUGGGAAAUUGGGACAGUAUACGGGGCCCCCCAUUGCUCUACAGCUUGACCCUGCAGUACGACCGGUCAGGCUCAAGGCCUGCUGGGUCCCGUUCGCCCUGAAACCCCGUAUAGAUGAGAAAUUGGACCGGCUCGUGGAGCAAGGAGUGCUGGAGCCGGUGCCUAAUGUCCCCUGGGUAACCCCAAUCGUCACACCCGUCAAGCCUAAUGGUUCGGUCCGCAUCUGUGCAGACUACAAAUGUACCAUAAACAAGGCCCUCACGGCCCAUGCAUACCCAGUGCCAGUGGUCAGCCAUGUCCUUACCAUCCUGGCUGGGUCGAAAAUUUUUGGCAAGCUGGACUUGGCCCAAGCAUAUCAACAGCUGCCAGUAGAUGAGGCCCAGCAGAGGCACAGACGAUUGUGACGCACAGAGGAGCAUUCAGGGUAAAGCGGCUGCAAUUCGGUGUCAGUGUGGCACCAGGCAUAUUCCAGAAUCUAAUGGACUCGCUCCUUAAAGGGAUUCCUGGCGUCACCCCCUUCUUCGAUGAUGUGUUGAUUGCCGGGCCCACACCAGAGGAGUUUGAGGACCACACCAGAGGAGUUUGAGGAGGUACGGGCCAUUUGUGAUGCCCCAGCGCCCAAGAGCAAGACUGAACUUCAGGCCUUCUUGGGACUAUUGAACUUUUACCAUUCCUUCCUUCCCCACAAGGCGGCGGUAGCGGAGCCGCUACACAGACUCCUGGACAAGCGGGCCCCUUGGGUGUGGGGCCAGCACCAGGAGGCUGCAUUCCAGGCAGUCAAGGACUUGUUUGUCUCAAACUCGGUCUUGGCACACUUCGACGAGAGGCUGCCGGUGGUGCUAGCAUGCGACGCUUCGCCCUAUGGCAUUGGCGCUGUCCUGGGACACCAACUCCCGGAUGGAAGAGAGGUACCGGUAGCAUACUUUUCCCAGACACUCAACGCAACCGAGCGGAACUACUCGCAAAUAGACAAGGAGGGGCUGGCAAUCGUGAAGGGAGUAAAAAAAUUCCAUGAUUUCUUGUACACCACCCUUCACUGUGGUGACUGACCACAAGCCGUUGCUUGGCUUGUUUGCCCCCGAAAAGCAGACCCCCCAAGUGCUGUCUCCUUGUGUCCUCAGGUGGUCAAUUUUCCUUGCCAGCUACCAGUAUGCACUGAUUCACUGCCCGGGGAAGGUGAUGGGCCAUGCGGACGCCCUUAGCAGGAUACCACUACCGGAAACAGGCCCCGACCCAGCACCUGCACAAGAGGUUAUGAGCCUGGAGCUGCUUCCCGACCGCCCCAUUCAGGCACAAGAAGUUGCACACCAUUCCAAGAAAGACAGGGUUAUCUCCCGGGUCCUGGACUGGGUGUGGAGGGGAUGGCCCAGCAGCAGCCCCGGGCCAGAAUUCGCCAGCUACACAACCCGCAAACAUGAACUGUCGGCCCACAAGGGGUGGGGAAGCAGGGUCAUUGUUCCCCAGCCCCUCCACGAAAGGGUCCUCACAGCCCUACACGAGACACACCCAGGGGUAGUAAGAAUGAAGGCCCUGGCCAGGAGUUAUGUGUGGUGGCCGGGGAUCGACGGAGAGAUAGAGGCCUGGGUCAAACACUGCCAGACCUGCCAAGAAUCCCGCCCAGAUCCCCCAAGGGCCCCAGUGCAGUCCUGGGAGUCCACCCGAGCACCAUGGUCACGCCUGCAUGUGGACUUCGCUGGCCCCUUUCAGGGGAAAACAUUCUUCAUAGUGGUGGACUCCUACACCAAAUGGCUGGAAGUCGCACUGGCACCGUCCACUUCUACAUCCGCAGCCAUCUGGGUACUACGCAGGCUGUUUGCAACCCACGGGCUCCCUGACACUCUCGUGUUUUAAUAUUUGUUUAAUUAUUCGCAGGGGUGGCCAACUCCCAAGAGACUGCAAUCUGCCUACAGAGUUAAAAACUGGCAGUGAUCUACUCACUUUGGGGGGGUUCAGGUCAAAGUUGUUGAGCUUUUCUUAGGGAGGAGAAAAGUCCCGUUUUGGGGGAGUGCAGGGCAAAAAUGUUGAGCUUUUUUAGGCGAGUCAAAGGUGUUUAGCUUCUUUGGGGGGAGCCAGUGACCUGCCAGUGACCCCAUUGCUUCCCUCCCUGCAGAGAAACAUGUGAGGUCAAUUGGGUAGAGUCCAAAUGGUUUCAGGAUGGUCUUCUUGUGCUGUUUCAGACACGUGGUUUACAUCUUUAUGUACAUGUUUGCCUUGUACAUUAUUGAACAUUGAAUUUAUAUCUUGGAGACCUUCAGUUCUUACAACACUCUGAAGGAAGUAUUCCAUGUCUGGUGUUGAGAAGGAGCCUCCUAAGCAAGCGUUUAGAGUGAAAGUUGUCGCCUUCGUCCAAACAUGCUUUGCAGCGAAGCGGCCAAAACCCUCCCAUUUUGUGUCCCUCCAUUUCCAACAUUUCCAAAUAAAGCUCUUUCUCCCCGCAGCUUCUUCUGCAGUGACUAAUACACUGGAAACCUCUUCCAAGGCCCCGUGCUUAUACUUUGUUCCUGUUUGGAAAAACAAGCCAAGUCUCCAUUUGUCUCCGUUUUAUUACGUUUGCCAAGAAUUGAUAUACAGUUGUACCUCAGGUUACAGACGCUUCAGGUUACAGACUCUGCUAACCCAGAAAUAGUACCUCGGGUUAAGAACUUUGCUUCAGAAUGAGAACAGAAAUCGUGCUCUGCCAGCGCGGCAGCAGCGGGAGGCCCCAUUAGUUAAAGUGGUGCUUCAGGUUAAGAACAGUUUCAGAUUAAGAACAGACCUCCGGAACCAAUUAAGUACUUAACCAGAGGUACCACUGUAUACCAAAUGAAAUUAGUUUUAUUUCCCAUUGGGCAGCGGCCGCAGACACAUUGCAGGCUCAGGAUUCUCUCCCAGCCGAUGUGAAGCAAUGUGGCCUUUUCUGAAAGUGAGCCUCCAUGGUUUUACUAGCGCUCCUUUCCUCAAUUUUCCUUGGUGCCUUGUCUCCUUGCCUUAGUCCCCCGCCUGGUUUCUGAUACACUUUCCAACAUAGCCCCAAAGCAGUUGCUUUUGCAAUACCACCAACUGCCCCAAACAGAGGGUUGUGAUGAGUUAAUCUCACACCUUUAAGCUUGAAAGGGGUGGUGGUGGUGGCCCAAAGGGCCAAAAUAAAUGUCAUAAUGUGUAUCCCUAGAAAUCCUUCAGUGUACUUCUAAAAGGAAAGUUAUGGUAACCUGUUGCUUUAUGAAACUGAGGAUUUUGCAAGUUGCCCCCCCCCCCAUUGGGGCAGGAAUACAGUCUUACCUCUGCUUACUCUGGAUACGUAAUUUUUGGGAUGCAAACGCAGCAAACCCGGAAGUAUUUUUCUGGUUGUUGCCGCGCACACAUGCGCAGAAGCGGUCCUCCAGUUGCAAAUUCCUCGGGAUGCAGCCAGACCUCCAGAACAGAUCCCGUUUGCAACCAGGGGUACCACCGUACAGCUGAUUGUGGAUCACAAAGAUACAGCUCAAAGCUAGAACCGCUACAUGGUGCAAACGGCAUGCACGCUAACACAAUGUAACACAGGCAUCCCCAAUCUUCAGCCCUCCAGAUAUUUUGGACCAAUUCCCAUCAUCCCUGACCACUGGUCCUGUGAGUUAGGGAUCAUGGGAGUUGUAGGCCAAAACAUCUGGAGGGCUGCAGGUUGAAGAUGCCUGAUGUAACAGCACAUGGUGGGAAUCCAAGCUUACUUGACAGAAAUGGGUGAGAAUCAAAACUGAAUCGGCACAAAUGGCCACUCCUUAUUACACAUGUAUAUUAAACAUAAAAUGAGGUGAUAGGCAAACUUGGCCCUCCAGCUGUUUUGGGACUACAACUCCCAUCAUCCCUAGUUAACAGGACCAGUGGUCAGGGAUGAUGGGAACUGCAGUCUUAAAACAUCUGGAGGGGGCCAAGUUUGGCCAUGCCUGAUCUAGGGCAUAAUGAUAUUUGUUUCUUAUAACCUCCAAGAGAAACUUUGCCAUGACCAGUGUAAUAUCAUUUGACCUGUCUUCUGAAAGAUAUUUAAUAUGGGGGACUUUGGAUUUUCCCGGCAAAUUUGCCAGGAAGGGUUUGAUCCGUUGAUCCCUUCCUCACAUUGCCCACAAUGCAGUAGGAUAUGCUUCAUACAACUAGUGGAAACUGGAAUCCUUUGUUUGAAACUUUAUCAACACCACUACCAGAACCACUGGGCGGGGUUGCACUUUUGCAGAACAAUCUGGCUGUAACCUAUUGCUUUGCAAUCAGCGUUGGACUUUUAACUCCUCAAGCUCCUGGGUUUUCAUUGGCAGGAGAUAAGCCACUUUAGGCUUCCAACAUAACAAAAGGGCAUAUUGCAGUCUAGAAUUUACUUCACCAUUUUGUUUUAAAUCCUGCUUUGCACAUUUGUAAGCAGGAAAAUUGCUUUAUUUUUUCUUCCAGCAAGCAUGAAAAAGCCAGUUCUCUUUCUGGUAGCAAAGCUGUACUUUUCCAGAAUAAAAAAUCAGAGUCACUUUGCUUUCCUGCCUGCAAUAGGACAUGUUGUUGUUGUCCUCCUCCUCCUCCUCCUCCUUCUCCUUAUCCUUCUCCUUCUCCUCCUUCUCCGGCGAUCCCUCGUAGCCGAGUAAGAUUUUCUUCCAUAAAUAUGGAUUUUAACAGUGAGCCUGUAAGUGACUGUGGAGGCCAAUUCUGGAUUCACACAUCCUUCCACAGUGGGGACAUUGGUUUCUGGGCAGGAGUUGAUCCCAGCGAGUCUUCCUUCCUCUUCGCCCGUUUCUCCCUUGCGUCCCGAGUUUGAGUGUCUUCAAAGCCCACGACACCUUUGGUCAAGGCUGUUCUCCCAUUGGAGCGCUCGCAGGCCAGUGCUUCCCAGUUGCCGAUGUUUGUACUACAUUUUUUAAAGAUUUGCUUUGAGAUCUUUCAACCUCUUUUGGAGACCACAAAACAGACCUCAGCGUAACACUCAAAGCAGAAGUGUGGCACUCAAAUCAGAAGCAGAACCAGGGCUGUCUUGAGCACGCCAGGCACUCCUGUCUUCCACUGCCUCCCGCAGUUUGGUCAAACUCAUGUUUGUAGCUUCGAGAACACUGUCGUCCCCUUCUCCUUGCACCCUUCAUUUUUCCCAACAUCAGGGUCUUUUCCAGGGACCCUUCUCUUCUCACAAGGUGGUAUUGGAGCCUCAGCUUCAGGAUCUGUCCUUCCAGUGAGCACUCAGGGCUGAUUUCCUUCAGAAUGGAUAGGUUUGAUCUUCUUGCAGUCCAUGGGACUUUCAAGAGUCUCCUCCAGCACCAGAAUUCAAAAGCAUCAAUUCUUCGGCGAUCAGCCUUCUUUAUGGUCCAGCUCUCACUUCCAUACAUCACUACUGGGAAAACCAUAGCUUGAACUAUAAGGACCUUUGUUGGCAAGGUGAUGUCUCGGAUUUUUAAAAUGCUGCCUAGUUUUGUCAUUUAGUUUAGCCACCCCCAAUUUUUUUGGGGGGGGGCAAACUCAAAGCUUUUAGUUUCCUUACUCAUCAGGAAUAUUUGCCGCCAUGGAGUAACAGAGUGGCAGAGGGUGGGGGCAGGGACUUUCACUCCCGUGCUUUUCACUGCUGCCAAUAGAGAGGGGCUGGUACAGUUGCAGGCGGGAUCCGUUCCGGAGAUCUGGCCGGAUCCCAAGGUUUCCACAAUCCUUCCAGGCUUGCUGCGCGCGUAUCUCAAAGGAUAUGUGACAAGAGGGGCACGUAAGUAGAGGUAGCACUGUAUACAAUAGGUAUACAUUGGGCACCCCCCAGAAUCCGGCGCCCUGGUUCCCUACACCCCCUUGCACCCCCAGGUCGAGACAGGCCUGAGCGUGCUCAAAACGGAGUACGUUCGGCUUCUGGGAAAAGUCCACCAACCGGAACACUUCCCUCCGGGUUUGCAGCGUUUGAAAACCAACGUUGCACCGUAUAGUAGCAUUGCUUUCCUUGCUCCUUGCCUUCUGAAGGAGCUUUUGUCUCUCUGUCCUUCCCUCACCCCACACUCAGUCUCCCUCUCGACACUAAAAAUUCCUCAACGCUUCAGUCAUUUCUCCUUUGUGCAGCUAUCUAAACUGUGUACAUACACGGCGGGGACAUAAUUUUGAAUUACAGCAAUGGAAAAAAACUAGAAAGCCACCCAGGGCUGGAAUCAUGAGCCGUAUAUGGGAUCCAGAUUAGUUUUCACGGGGUGUUGGCUGACUUUAUAUGAAGGGCCACCACACCUUCUUCUGCUGGAUUUUGCCAAACUUAAUUCUAGAAUCGUGACCUUUCCUUGUUUUUGCUUGCGUUGCUAGGGACCUGGAGCAGACCGUGCAUUAACAGGACAGCUUUGGGGUGAAGAGUAUUGUUUCUAGGACAGUUCCUGAGGAGGAACUCUGCUUUUUAAGAUGCUGUCUAGCUUUGCCGUCACUUUUCUCCCAAGAAGCAGGCGUCUUUUAAUUUCAUGUCUGCUGUCACCAUCUGCAGUGAUCAUGGAGCCCAAGAAAGUUGUUUUUAUUAUUGUUGUUGUUGUUAUUUUAAUAUUGCAUACACACACACACACACACACACACACACACAUCAAAUAUACCAGGCAUGUCCAACAAGUAGAUUGCGACCUACUGGCAGAUCAUGGGGUGUUCUUGGUAGAUCCUGAUAGAUUUCCGGCCCCUCAGUGAUCCCCUCCCACCCCCCAAAAAAGCUCAACAACUUUGCCUUCCCAAGAAAAGAUCAACAACUCUGGCUUCCCAAAAACAGCUCAACAAUUCUGUGCCCCCCCCCCAGCUCAACUCAACAACUUUGGUCCGUCCAACGACAAUGGGUAGAUCACUGCUAGGUUUUUUUCACACUGUGAGUAGCUCGCAGUCUAUUGGGAAUUGGAAAUAUAUUUACAGAAUGUAAAGGAAGAAAUGUUAGAAGAUGUUCUCUUUUUAAAAAAUGUAAUACUGUAAGAAGAAAUAAAAAUAAAUAAAUAAAAAGUAUGCAUCCCUCCCCUCCUCCUCGCCUCCCACCCCAUGUUCCUGUGGGAGAGUUGGUUUAUGCUUAAUUUUAACAGGGAGAAAUGUAAAGUAUUGCACUUGGGCAAAAAAAAUGAGAGGCACAAAUACAAGAUGGGUGACACCUGGCUUGAGAGCAGUACAUGUGAAAAGGAUCUAGGAGUCUUGGUUGACCACAAACUUGACAUGAGCCAACAGUGUGACGUGGCAGCUAAAAAAGCCAAUGCAAUUCUGGGCUGCAUCAAUAGGAGUAUAGCAUCUAGAUCAAGGCAAGUAAUAGUGCCACUGUAUUCUGCUCUGGUCAGACCUCAGCUGGAGUACUGUGUCCAGUUCUGGGCACCACAGUUCAAGAAGGACACUGACAAACUGGAACGUGUCCAGAGGAGGGCAACCAAAAUGGUCAAAGGCCUGGAAACGAUGCCUUAUGAGGAACGGCUAAGGGAGCUGGGCAUGUUUAGCCUGGAGAAGAGGAGGUUAAGGGGUGAUAUGAUAGCCAUGUUCAAAUAUAGAAAAGGAUGUCACAUAGAGGAGGGAGAAAGGUUGUUUUCUGCUGCUCCAGAGAAGUGGACACGGAGCAAUGGAUCCAAACUACAAGAAAAAAAGAUUCCACCUAAACAUUAGGAAGAACUUCCUGACAGUAAGAGCUGUUCGACAGUGGAAUUUGCUGCCAAGGAAUGUGGUGGAGUCUCCUUCUUUGGAGGUCUUUAAGCAGAGGCUUGACAACCAUAUGUCAGGAGUGCUCUGAUGGUGUUUCCUGCUUGGCAGGGGGUUGGACUCGAUGGCCCUUGUGGUCUCUUCCAACUCUAUGAUUCUAUGAUUCUAUGCUUCUUUUUAUCAAAAACAAAUUCCUAACAGAAAGUGGCAAAGUGAGGCAAUGUUGUUGCCAGCAGGGUUCCUGUGCGUUGCAAAUUAAUGUGCCACUUUUCUUUUACUUUCUAUGAUCUUAAAUGCUUGGCUCUUGCCCUUGAAGAAGAAGAAGAAGAAGAAGAAGAAGAAGAAGAAGAAGAGUUUGGAUUUGAUAUCCUACUUGAUCACUACCCGAAGGAGUCUCCAAGCGGCUAACAAUCUCCUUUCCCUUUGAGG